AAAAAAUGUUUACCAACUGUUUUUUCUGUAUAUUGGUCACAAAACGCUGUCAUAAUGCCAGAUCUAUGGCCCCUGAUCUUUUCUCUUAAAGUGAGGUCCGUCUUCCCAAUAUAUGCUAAGCCACAUGGGCAUUUGAUCAUCUAAAUGACGUGGUCUGUGGUACACGUAAUGUAAUGUUUAAUUAGAAUCAGUUGGCCACUAUGAGGAUGAGUGAAGGUUGG